AAACCAGCACCUCAAGUGGUCAGGAUGAUUAUUGGGCCUAAAGCAUCCGUAGCCGGCUCUGUAAGUUUUCGGUUAAAUCUGUACGCUCAACGUACAGGCCGCCGGAAAUACUGCAGAGCUAGGGAGUGGGAGAGGUAGACGGUACUCGGGAGGAAGUGGUAAAAUGCUUUGAUCUCUCGAUGACCACCUGUGGCGAAGGCGGUCUACCAGAACACGUCCGACGGUGAGGGAUGAAAGCUGGGGGAGCAAACCGGAUUAGAUACCCGAGUAGUCC
rnacentral:rRNA from 1 species